GCCGCCUUAGCUCAGUUGGUAGAGCACCUGACUUGUAAUCAGGGGGUCGUCAGUUCGAAUCCGACAGGCGGCACCA
rnacentral:tRNA from 1 species